UACGAAGGGGGCUAGCGUUGCUCGGAAUUACUGGGCGUAAAGGGCGCGUAGGCGGACAGUUUAGUCAGAGGUGAAAGCCCAGGGCUCAACCCUGGAAUUGCCUUUGAUACUGGCUGUCUUGAGUACGGGAGAGGUGUGUGGAACUCCGAGUGUAGAGGUGAAAUUCGUAGAUAUUCGCAAGAACACCAGUGGCGAAGGCGGAUCUCUGGGCCAUAACUGACGCUGAGGAGCGAAAGCAUGGGGAGCGAACAGG
rnacentral:rRNA from 1 species